UACGGAGGGUGCGAGCGUUGUCCGGAAUCGACUGGGGCGUAAAGGGCGCGUAGGCGGCGGGGUAAGCGUGCGGUGAAAGCUCGGGCUCAACCCGAGUCGGCCGUGCGAACUGCCCUGCUUGAGCACUGUAGAGGCAGGUGGAAUUCCGGGUGUAGCGGAUGGAAUGCGUAGAGAUCGGAAGAACACCAGUGGCGAAGGCGGCCUGCUGGGCAGUGCUGACGCUGAGGCGCGAAAGCGUGGGGAGCAAACGGGAUUAGAUACCUAG
rnacentral:rRNA from 1 species